UACGUAGGGGGCAAGCGUUGUCCGGAUUUAUUGGGCGUAAAGAGCGUGUAGGCGGCCACACAGGUCUGCUGUGAAAACUCGAGGCUCAACCUCGAGCUGUCGGUGGAAACCGUGUGGCUAGAGUCCGGAAGAGGAGAGUGGAAUUCCCGGUGUAGCGGUGAAAUGCGCAGAUAUCGGGAAGAACACCCGUGGCGAAGGCGGCUCUCUGGGCAACAACUGACGCUGAGGAGCGAAAGCGUGGGGAGCAAACAGG
rnacentral:rRNA from 1 species